UGAAUAUGAAAUUGAAAUAUAUGAAUGAGAUUUGAAAUAUAAGAUGAUUAUGAGAAUAAUUGAUGAGAUUUUUAUUGUAAAAUAUUAUUGAAAUUUUCAAACAAGUAAAUAGUAAAACACGUCAAACAAUAAUAAAAUAGGAGAAACUUCGUUAGUUUUUUCAUCGAAAAAUAAUCAAUAUUAAAUAUAACGAGAACAAAAUUUUUAAAGAAAUAAAGUAAGAUAAGUUAGGGUACUCCGGCACCGAAUGUAGCAUGCCUUGCUUG
rnacentral:misc_RNA from 1 species